AACGCACCUUGCGCUCCUUGGUAUUCCGAGGAGCAUGCCUGUUUGAGUGUCAUUAAAUUCUCAACCUUAUAAGCUUUUUGCUAGUAAGGCUUGGAUGUGGGUGUUGCAGGCUUUUCCAAAAGUCAGCUCUCCUUAAUUGCAUUAGUGAAACCUUUGUUGACCGUCUUUGGUGUGAUAAUUAUCUACGCUAUUGAUGGUUCAGCUUAAUUAUGAGGUUACGCUUCUAACCGUCCUGUUUAUAGGACAAUUUCUGACAAUUUGACCUCAAAUCAGGUAGGACUACCCGCUGAACUUAA
rnacentral:misc_RNA from 1 species